rnacentral:rRNA from 1 species
UUCGGAUUGUAAACUCCUGUUGUUGNGGAAGAUAAUGACGGUACNCAACAAGGAAGNGACGGCUAACUACGUGCCAGCAGCCGCGGUAAAACGUAGGNCNCAAGCGUUGUCCGGAAUUACUGGGUGUAAAGGGAGCGCAGGCGGGAAGACAAGUUGGAAGUGAAAUCNAUGGGCUCAACCCAUAAACUGCUUUCAAAACUGUUUUUCUUGAGUAGUGCAGAGGUAGGCGGAAUUCCCGGUGUAGCGGUGGAAUGCGUANAUAUCGGGAGGAACACCAGUGGCGAAGGCGGCCUACUGGGCACCAACUGACGCUGAGGCUCGAAAGUGUGGGUAGCAAACAGGAUUAGAUACCCUGGUAGUCCACACCGUAAACGAUGAUUACUAGGUGUUGGAGGAUUGACCCCUUCAGUGCCGCAGUUAACACAAUAAGUAAUCCACCUGGGGA